rnacentral:lncRNA from 1 species
UGGGCAUGUUUUCGAACUGCUUGGUUGGCAGGAGCUGGAGCUAAUAGCGGGCGCUCACUCCACUCCUGGGAUUUGAACCUGAGACCUUUCGGUCUGCAAGUUCAGCAGCUCAGUGCUUUAACACACUUCGCCACCGGGGUUCCUGUAACCAAAAUAGUAGACCAAAACAAAUCUCACUUUUUUGUCCUAGGUGAGUUGUCUUCAAAAGCAAAGACUUCCAGAAUUAUACACUUGGCCUUGAAUUGGGAUCUAUUGGUGGGACUCCCGUUUAUGUCCCACCAAUAUGGCUGGCCAUGAAAGCCUUCGACAAACUUGUUAUUGUUCCUCAACCAUCUAAGCUUCUGUCACAUAUAUUGUAAACUGAGUUGUGUUACCAUCUAAGUGAAUAAUAAGAAGUAAGAAAAACAAAAUUUAAAAGAUCUCCUCUCUGAGUCAUAUUGGUGGCUACAUCUUCCCAAAGUGGCAUCAAGCGUUAAUAAUCCCCUUUACAUUUGGUGGCAGAAUAAUAAAGACUUUUCCAAUUGGUGGCAGCAUUUAAUAAAACAUCUUUAUAAUUGGUGGCAGCAUUUAAUUAAUUAAAACCCCAUUACAGCAUGUUUCUCCCUUUCACCCUCCAUUUGUUCCUCUUCAAAUUCCACAGCACUUCUAGUCACAGCUGACCUCCAGCAAGAGCGCUCAAGGGCCAGGGCUUCCCAGUUCUCAGUGUCUAUGCCACGGUUUUUAAGGUUAGCUUUCAGACCAUCUUUAAAUCUCUUUUCCUGUCCACCAAUAUUCCAUUUCCAUUCUUGAGUUGAGAGUAUAGUAAUUGCUUUGGAAGACAGUGUUCGGGUAUUCGGACAACGUGGCAUUCAGUCCAGCAGAGUUGAUGGCGUAGGAGCAUGGUUUCAAUGCUGGUGGUCUUUGCUUCUUCCAGCACGCUGACAUUUGUCCGCCUGUCUUCUGAAGAAAUUUGCAUGAUUUUUCGGAGGCAACACUGAUAGAAUCAUUCCAGGAGUUGAAGGUGACGUCUGUAGACAAUCUGUGUUUCACAGGCAUAUAACAGGGUUAACAAGCACGUUGGUCUUCCUACGGAUGUCCUGAUCCUCAAAUACUCUCUGCUUCAUUCAGAAAAAUGCUGCACUCGCAGAGCUCAGGCAAUGUUGUAUUUCAGUGUCAAUGUUGACUUUUGUGGAGAGAUGGCUGCCAAGGUAGUGGAAAUGUAGAUCAACACACACACAUUGAGAGGGUGCUGUAGCAUAUAGUGCCUGGUCAUUGUGGAAAGAGAAAGCUAGGAUAAACAGGUCUUAAGCCUGAUCCAGCAGCUCUUCUCUUCUUGUGCUUUCCUUCUAAUUCCUCUGUGGCAAACACUUUGAUUCCUCAAAGAUCCCUCAUUUUAUAAAUGUAGGGAACUGGGUUGGGAAGGAACCAAUGUAACAAGAUUGCUUAUCAAAAUGGAAUCUCCAUAAAUAAGAAUAUAGGGAGAGAAGAGUAUUGCUCUAUUGUGCUUUGAUCUGGGCAUCACAAGAAGGAUAUUGACAAGUUAAAAUGGGUCCAAGAAAGGGAGACCAAAAUGAUCAAAGGUUUGGAAACCAUGAAUCCCUAUGAGGAAUGGCUUAGGAAACUGUGGAGGUUUAACUUGGAGAAAAAAGAAGGCUGAGAAGGGACAUGAUAGCCAUUUUAAAAUAUUCUAAAUGAUGUCACAUUAGGAGGGGAAAGGCUUGUUUACUGCUGCUUUAAAGACUAGGAUACAAUGGAGCAAUUAAUUCAAAUGACAGGAAAAGAGAACCAACCUAAACAUUCAGAAGAAUCUCUGGACUGUCUGAGCUGCUCAACAGUGGAAGAUGCUGCCUUGGAGUUUGAUGGAGUUUCCUUCUCUGGAGGUUUUUAAGAAGAGAGGCUAGAUGGCCAUCUGUUGGGGGUGUUUUAACUGUGUUUCUGCAUGGAAGAAUGGUGUUGGAUUGGAUGGAUCUUGCAGUCUCUUUCCACUCUGUAAUUCUAUUAGUCUAUGAUUCUAUCAUUUCCCUGUCUCUAAUAUAUUCAUAAUUUAUUUCACUCCUGUUUUUUGGCAAUUCUAGUUCAGUUUAUCAUAACAAAAAAAGAGAAAAUGGUUGUGGGUGUUGAUGCAAAUGAGGCAUCUACACUGGUGGAAUUAGCUCAGUUUGACACUACAUUAACUGCCUUUUGCUCAGUGCUCUGGAAACAAGGCAGUUGCAGUUUUAUAAUUGUUUGAGCCUUCUUUUUCAAAGAGUGCCGAUGUCUCGUGAAACUACAGAUCCUGGGAUUGUGUAGCUUUGUUUGAGCCAUGGCAGUUAAAGUAGUGUCAAACUGCAUUUAUUCUAUAGUGCAGACAGACCCAAAGAGGCAGACAGCUUCAAUAUCAAAGCUUAAGCUCUGUUUCAGAAAUUACUUAGUUUUGGUGGAGAUAAGGGGGGGAAUCCUGUGCAGCUAAUUAUCCAAUUGUAUUGAUAUUAUACUCCUUGUUGCCAAGCUAGGCAGCUUUUCAUCAGGAUUAGCUGGGAAUGCAAUUCAAAUGAAAAAAAAGGAGGAAGGAAGAGACAGAUAAACCAACCGAUAGAAAGAUAACCUUCGGUCUGUUUCUAUACAAGUUUACUUAGAAGAACAUUCCUCUGAUUGAAAUAGAACAUGUUUUCUUUUACGCAUGGAUGGAAGUCUUGUCCUAUGAAUGUUUACUCAAACAGUACUCCCAUUGUUUCUAUGUAUGGUUGUGAAAGCUGGCAGGCUGAAAUUCAACUCAUCUGAAAUGUGGUGCGAGCAGAGACUUCUGUGAUGAUUAUGGACUAUUUUUAAAAAGUCAGACAAACGUGUCUUUGAGAAAACCAAGCCUGGAUUUUGACAAGAAGCU